rnacentral:rRNA from 1 species
UACGUAGGUGGCAAGCGUUGUCCGGAAUUAUUGGGCGUAAAGCGCGCGCAGGCGGUCCUUUAAGUCUGAUGUGAAAGCCCACGGCUCAACCGUGGAGGGUCAUUGGAAACUGGGGGACUUGAGUACAGAAGAGAAGAGUGGAAUUCCACGUGUAGCGGUGAAAUGCAUAGAGAUGUGGAGGAACACCAGUGGCGAAGGCGACUCUUUGGUCUGUAACUGACGCUGAGGCGCGAAAGCGUGGGGAGCAAACAGG